UAUCACAAAGGCCUAAAAGGCAUCUCCCACUCCCCACCUGCCUGUCACAUCUGGAGGCACUUGCAGUCAAUACAGCUGACAGGGCCAUGGGGCUGUGGCAGGCAUCAAUCAGGAUGGAGACGGACAGACCCUCCCCUGACAUGUGUCAAAGAAGAGCCGCGACUGCUGCCCAAGAAGCGAAAGAGACC